rnacentral:rRNA from 1 species
CGAACGCUGGCGGCAGGCCUAACACAUGCAAGUCGAGCGCGCCCUUCGGGGUGAGCGGCGGACGGGUGAGUAACGCGUGGGAACGUGCCCUUUUCUACGGAAUAGUCUCGGGAAACUGGGGGUAAUACCGUAUACGCCCUUCGGGGGAAAGAUUUAUCGGAGAAGGAUCGGCCCGCGUUGGAUUAGGUAGUUGGUGGGGUAAUGGCCUACCAAGCCGACGAUCCAUGGCUGGUUUGAAAGGAUGAUCAGCCACACUGGGACUGAGACACGGCCCAGACUCCUACGGGAGGCAGCAGUGGGAAUCUUAGACAAUGGGCGCAAGCCUGAUCUAGCCAUGCCGCGUGAGCGAUGAAGGCCUUAGGGUUGUAAAGCUCUUUCAGGGGGGAAGAUAAUGACUGUACCCCCAGAAGAAGCACCGGCUAACUACGUG